CCGGAUUCUGGUCACGGGGAUGUGCGUGGGAGGGAGGCAGACCACACCCGGUCCUCAGUGACAGCCUCGGCGACCCUUCCCAGACUUCCCUGCAGUAGCGGUAUUGACGUCUACCUGUUCUAAGUGGCUUAGCUGCAAGGCAGCGGAGAACGACUCAACCCACACUGGUCUUUUCAAGGGGCCGUGAUGUGAAUUGGGGAAUUUGCGUCUCCCUCAGAAAGAGCAGGAUUGGCUCAGAUGAACUGUUGACUUCGGAAGGCCUUCUAGAGCACCUUUGGAGUCAAAGCUUCCUCUACAGGGCGACCUCAGAGUAGAGGGACUUCUUCCAUGCUGAUUCAGGCCCCGGAGUGCAUUCUUGAGACAGUGCUACAGGAAAGUGUACAAGGUGUUCUAAGAGCCUCGGGGAUCACGCAGCACCACUCUGGGAUCCUCUGUUGGUCAAAGCCACCCCCACAGUCCUCCAGGCUCAGAGGGAGGGCCUCAGAUGCCACCUCUUGAUGAGGAAGUGUCAAGUUCUUCAAGAGCACGUGGGAUGGAAAUGUUGUCACGUCCAUUCUUGGAAAACAUAACCUGCCACGGCCGCUGUUAAUGUUUUGCUGACUCUCCUUCUUGGCUACAGGGUGUUUUUAAGAUGGAUGAAUGAAGGACAUAUCCGUUAGGCAGUAGGCAUCUAAAUUUACAAAAUCCUGGAGCUGGAGUGCAACUUAUGCAUUUUUGGAAUACAAGGGAACUGAGGUUCCUUCACUGGAGUCUGGGUUAACAGAUCCAGGCAAGGGUUCGGAGGGAAAGCCAUCAAAGAUGGUUUGCAGCCUCUUCUCAGCCUUGGAGAAGUCUGAGCUUUGACACACCAUCAAAUCCCUCCUGCAACUAACUCAAGAAUUGUAAAUGUGUGUAUUGGAUCCAAGACACACAAAAGCCCUGCUGAAAUGGCUUUGAGGUAACAAGGGCACUUGCAUCUAUUUAAAUUGGUCAGGGGGUAAUCUGUAAUCAAUGAACCUUAUUUGAUGAGAUGCAGCUGUGUGCUAGAAAAUGGGGCCUAAUUACACACCCCUGAGGGUAUAUAUCUGAUAAACAAAUAAAUAAAGUUUCCUUGACUUCUAGCUCUUUCUCACAAUGGUCCAUACCCACUGCCUUCUCUCUCAUGAUCAUCAUUCCAAGUGUGGAGUGAGUGAGAUAUUUAGAAGGCAGGUCUGGGCAUCACGAGAUCUCUACCUGGCUGUCACUGUGUGUUGUUUGGCUGUCCUUUAUCCUUUCUUGAUGUUUGAGUAAAGCUUAACUCUUUGUGCAUCCUGUGAGUUUGACUGGCAACCUGAACCCAAGACCACUGCAGGUGAUCAAGCAGAGAAGGCAUUGCAGUGUCUGACAAUGUGAAUUUUGGAAAAUCCCUCCAGGCACCCUCAGUUGGAAGUAACUGCGAUCAGUGGCCUCAGUUUGCAGAUGAGAAACUGGUUCAAGAAGGCGAGCUGACCUGCCUAAAGUCUCACAGCUGCUUGUGGACAGAGUCAAGACUAGAACUCAAGUCUUCUGUAUACACGCUCUCUGCUUUUCCAUUGGCAUGCACUCCCCAAAACGUGUUUUGCACAAUGCUGGCCCCGUGUAUCGCUCUGUGAUGAACUGUGUUCUCUAUGACUGAAUGACUUUAGUUUGGAGAAAUGCUGUGUACCUAACCUCCUGGAGAUUUAUACUAUACUAAAGGCUCUGAGAAAUCAUCUAGUUAAGAAAUUUUGCUCCAUUUAGCUUAAAGAUGCCCCAAAUUAUUUGAACAUGGAACUCUUCAUUUUUACAACUAUUAAACAUCUGUACAAACAGCAAAUUUGGUGAAACAACCUAUGAGGAAAGCUGGCACUGAGAAAGCCAGACUGAAUAAAGGGAUUAAUGACAACUGUCCUCAAAGAUGCAACAACCAGAUUGUAGGUACUCCUGUGCUUGUUAUUAAAAAAUCACAAAUUGGUUUUAAAAUUUAUAAGUAGUUUGUAUCAAAGUUAGUAGUAACACAGACUAUAAUUAAGAUGUGUAGAGCUCUUGUGAGUUACCAUGGGGGUUAGGGGUCUCAUUUGGAAAAAUCAGUGCUGUGUGGAAAAGCCCCAAACCCUCAGAG